rnacentral:rRNA from 1 species
GAUGAACGCUGGCGGCGUGCCUAAUACAUGCAAGUCGAGCGAACAGACGAGGAGCUUGCUCCUCUGACGUUAGCGGCGGACGGGUGAGUAACACGUGGAUAACCUACCUAUAAGACUGGGAUAACUUCGGGAAACCGGAGCUAAUACCGGAUAAUAUAUUGAACCGCAUGGUUCAAUAGUGAAAGACGGUUUUGCUGUCACUUAUAGAUGGAUCCGCGCCGCAUUAGCUAGUUGGUAAGGUAACGGCUUACCAAGGCAACGAUGGGUAGCCGACCUGAGAGGGUGAUCGGCCACACUGGAACUGAAAAGCGGUCCAGACUCCUACGGGAGGCAGCAGUAGGGAAUCUUCCGCAAUGGGCGAAAGCCUGACGGAGCAACGCCGCGUGAGUGAUGAAGGUCUUCGGAUCGUAAAACUCUGUUAUUAGGGAAGAACAAAUGUGUAAGUAACUAUGCACGUCUUGACGGUACCUAAUCAGAAAGCCACGGCUAACUACGUG